rnacentral:rRNA from 1 species
ACUCCUACGGGAGGCAGCAGUGGGGAAUAUUGCACAAUGGGCGCAAGCCUGAUGCAGCCAUGCCGCGUGUAUGAAGAAGGCCUUCGGGUUGUAAAGUAACUUUCAGCAGUGAGGAAGGGUGGAUGCGUUAAUAGCGUAUCAUUGACGUUAGCUGCAGAAGAAGCACCGGCUAAACCUCGUGCCAGCAGCCGCGGUAAUACGGAGGUGCGAGCGUUAAUCGGAAUUACUGGGCGUAAAGCGCAUGCAGGUGGUUUGAUUAAGUCAGAUGUGAAAGCCCGGGGCUCAACCUCGGAAUAGCA